UGUCAUCUUCAUUGUCUGCCAGCGAGAAACCGGCUAAUCCGCUGUUACCAUUACCGAAAGCUACACAUGCUGCUCCAAGGGCUCUACCAAAAAACUCUAACACAGCCCUUCCUCAGGGAGGAUCGCAAGGAGAAACAUCAAAGGGGUUUAACUUUCAGUUUGGUAGUAUAAAUAUGAAUGGGCUACCGCAAUUUCCUGCCAGGACAAGCUCAACUCCUCCAAAUUUGGAUGAACAAAAACGUAAGCA